ACGGAAGGCAGCAGUGGGGGAUAUUGCACAAUGGAGGAAACUCUGAUGCAGCGACGCCGCGUGAGGGAAGAAGGUUUUCGGAUUGUAAACCUCUGUCUUAUGGGACGAUAAUGACGGUACCAUAGGAGGAAGCCACGGCUAACUACGUGCCAGCAGCCGCGGUAAUACGUAGGUGGCAAGCGUUGUCCGGAAUUACUGGGUGUAAAGGGAGCGUAGGCGGGAAUGCAAGUUGAAUGUUUAAACUAUCGGCUCAACCGAUAAUCGCGUUCAAAACUGCGUUUCUUGAGUGAAGUAGAGGCAAGCGGAAUUCCUAGUGUAGCGGUGAAAUGCGUAGAUAUUAGGAGGAACACCAGUGGCGAAGGCGGCUUGCUGGGCUUUUACUGACGCUGAGGCUCGAAAGUGUGGGUAGCAAACAGGAUUAGAUACCCUGGUA
rnacentral:rRNA from 1 species